UUACUACUCCCUCCGUUUCAAAAUUCUUGUCUUAGAUUUGUCUAGAAAUUGAUGUAUCAAAAUACUAAAACGUGACUAGAUACAUUCAUACAUAGACAAAUCUAAUACAUGAAUUUUGGGACGGAGGGAGUACAAC
rfam:Hordeum vulgare subsp. vulgare, WGS project CAJW01000000 data, contig: morex_contig_43222